CUGAAGCUGCUCAGAGCGGUUGAGAAUGUCGAGCAGAGAGAAGUAACAGGGUUAGUGGGUGUGUGAGGAGGAAUGGAGCCAACGGAAUGGGCAGGGAGGCUUCAUAAAGACACAGUGCAGGCCGCAGACCCCAAAUAACAAGCUACCGGUCUUGUGUUUACAGAAAACGAGCCGAAAAAGUCUGGAUUUCUCCCUUCGCCAGGACCGGAGUAACGGCCGCCAUCUUUAUAGGGGGCAAUGUGCAGCAGGGCGCAUGCGCGGUCAUCCUGGUCCAGAUCUUGCCCAAAAUCUUUAAUCUGUGUCCCGUAAUCAUUUUACAAUCGGUUAAUGGGAACAGCAUUUCAUUAACUAUCGUUAUCAUUAGGGACCAAGGGGGAAAUCUAUGGGUGGAGCCAGAGGACAUCGCUAGAGUGUUGAAUGAAUACUUCAAAUCCGUCUUCACCCAAGGGAAUGAGGAUGAAGCUGCAGGCUCCAGCAGGAGAGUUUAAAGUUGAACCUUGAAAUUGUUUCACAGAUACCAACAAAUAUUGCCAAUCCCCAGUUGCCUGUGGAGAAGAUGAUGUUUGACCUUCUUGAACCGCUGCAGUCCGUGUGGUGAAGGUGCUCCCACGAUGCUGUUAGUUUCACAGGGUAAUAGAAGGGGAGGAUUUGCUGUCGGGAAACUCAUACCAAGACCUGAGUGAGUCACUUGAUUCAUCAGGACCUGAAUAUUAUCGGCCUUUGAACAUGGAAGCAGAAAUCGCUGCUCACGCUGGGGAGAAACCGUGUAAGUGCAGGGACUGUGGGAAGGGAUUCAAUUACCCAUCUGACCUGGAAACUCAUCGACGCACUCACACUGGGGAGAAGCCAUUCACCUGCUCUGAGUGUGGGAAGGGAUUUACUCAGUCAUCCACU